rnacentral:rRNA from 1 species
UACGAACUGUGCGAACGUUAUUCGGAAUCACUGGGCUUACAGGGUGCGUAGGCGGCGGUGCAAGUCAGGUGUGAAAUCCCACAGCUCAACUGUGGAACUGCGCUUGAAACUGCAUUGCUUGAGAGAGCUAGAGGUAUGCGGAACUUCCGGUGGAGCGGUGAAAUGUGUUGAUAUCGGAAGGAACACCAGAGGCGAAGGCGGCAUACUGGGGCUUAUCUGACGCUGAGGCACGAAAGCCAGGGGAGCAAACGGG